UUGAACUCAAUACAGUUUUCAGGUAAAUAGAUUUAUAUAAAAAUUCAUUUAUUAUAAAGAAAUUUAUAAUAUUUAUUUAUAUUUAGUAUAAUCAAAGUAAUAAAUCAAUUAUAUUAACUAUUUUUAGUGCCAGCAGUUGCGGUUAAACUAGUAAUAAAAAUUUACUAAAUUAUUUAUUUUUACUUUUAUAUUAAUAAACAAAUUAUUAAGUGAAAUUUUAUUUUGUUUAAAAAUACUUUACUUAUUUUUAAAAAAAUUUACAAUUUUAAAAAAGGAUUAGAUACCCUUAUAUAUUCUAAAUAUUUUCUGGGUAGUAACACUUUAGAAAAACCUAUGUACUUUGGCGGCAUUUAAUCAUUAUAGAGGAACCUGUUUUUUAAUCGAUAAUACACGAUACAUCUAACUUUUUUUAAAAUUUUAUAUACCUCCAUCUUAAGGAUUAAUAAUAAUAUUCUCCCUAAAUUAAAUUUUAAAUAAGUUAGGUAAAGGUGUAGACUAUAAAAAUGAACUUAAUGGGUUACUUUAAAUAAAAUUUAUGGAAUAUUACUUAAAAUUUUUAUAAAAAAGGAUUUAUUAGUAAUAAUAAAACAUUAUUUUACAAUGAAAAUGAUAAAAAAUGUGCACAUAUCGCCCGUCACCCUUAUCUAAAGAUAAGGUAAGUCGUAACACAGUUGAUAUUUUGGAAAAAGUAUC
rnacentral:ncRNA from 1 species